rnacentral:rRNA from 1 species
UACGUAGGGUGGGAGCGUUGUCCGGAAUUAUUGGGCGUAAAGAGCUUGUAGGCGGUCUGUCGCGUCUGCUGUGAAAAUCCGGGGCUCAACCCCGGACUUGCAGUGGGUACGGGCAGACUAGAGUGUGGUAGGGGAGACUGGAAUUCCUGGUGUAGCGGUGAAAUGCGCAGAUAUCAGGAGGAACACCGAUGGCGAAGGCAGGUCUCUGGGCCACUACUGACGCUGAGAAGCGAAAGCAUGGGGAGCGAACAGG